AUUCAUUCAUUCAUUGAAGAUAAGAAAGAAUAAGAAAUUAAGCAAGAGAGAGAAAGGGAAAGGGUGAAAGAGCUUGAGGAAGUUAUGGGAUAUGGGAGGAUCGGUAAAACAGAUCUAAUUCAUCUGAAUUGAAUAAUUUCUUUACCGAUUCCACCCAUUCCUAUUAUUUCCUUUUGUUCCUCUCUUUCCACUCUCCUCUCCAUUUCUCCAACCACCUUUCUGUUUGUAUAUGUCUCAGAAUCAGAAUCAGGGUAACGUUCAGGGUGAUGAGAAGAACAAAGAAAAAUCGCCUAUGACGUGGCACGAAAUUGUUUGCGAUGGUUCCGAAAAAAAGAAGGGUUCGAAGGUGCCGGUGUACAAUCACUCGAGGUUGAGGAGGAGCGGGAGGACAUGCUAUUUCGGUCCUCAACCAAAACAAGGUACCGCAGGGACUGUAGUGGGCAACCCGGUUGAUUUGUGUGACGAGGAAGAAUGAAUAUAAUGGCUUUUAAUGCCUAAUUGUUUUGGAUUUUUUUAUGUUUUAUUUUUGUGUCGCGCACAUUUUGUUUGACAUUAUGGUACUUAGAAUAAAAUCGAAUUUGGAAUAA